rnacentral:rRNA from 1 species
GACGAACGCUGGCGGCGUGCCUCAGACAUGCAAGUCGAACGCGAAAGGUUCCUUCGGGAACCCGGUAGAGUGGCGCACGGGUGAGUAACACGUGGGUAAUUUGCCUUCGGGUGGGGAAUAACAGUCGGAAACGGCUGCUAAUACCGCAUAAUGCAGCGGCAUCAUAAGAUGACAGUUGUUAAAGCGGGGGAUCGUAAGACCUCGCGCCUGAAGAGAAGCCCGCGGCGGAUUAGGUAGUUGGUGAGGUAAUGGCUCACCAAGCCCGCGAUCCGUAACCGGCCUGAGAGGGCGGUCGGUCACACUGACACUGACAUACGGGUCAGACUCCUACGGGAGGCAGCAGUCGGGAAUUUUGGGCAAUGGGCGCAAGCCUGACCCAGCAACGCCGCGUGAAGGAUGAAGCAUUUCGGUGUGUAAAACUUCACAAGAAUGGGAAGAAUAAAGUUAAGGCGAAAUACCCUUGACGAUGACGGUACUAUUUGUAAGCUCCGGCUAACUCCGUGCCAGCAGCCG